ensembl:lncRNA
AUUUUUCCAAAGACAUAUUUCAAUGCAUAGAAGGGGGAAAUUACUUCACUUUUAUUUAGCAUCUCCCGAAACUUUCUUUGUUUCAGGGAAAGCUGGAGUCAAGUGACUUUCUCCUUUGUAUAUCUGAGCAACGCCGUUUCUCCAUCUCUGUAUAAAGGUAAAUCUGAAAGCUUAGUCAUCAGCAUUCAGUGUAGAUUGGCCAUACAGCACAAGAUCAACCCAUAGAACAGAAUUGGCACAGCCCUUCUUCCUGACUUGCCUGCGACUUGUUAACCUGGAAGAAAAGGUAAAGAGAAUCAUAGGGAGGAGGUCAGCCCUGCCAUCACUGAGCCAAUAAACUAAGGCCAGCCGCCACUUUUGUCCAGACUGCUGUGACGUAAGAGUUACAAACCUCUUUGUUCAAGCUAUUGAUAGACAUUCUAUUAUUCACAGUGGGGAGCAUUCCUAACUGAUACCCGACUCACUAUGACAAUGGAAAUCCUAACCACUGUCACGUUCAGAGACUGGAGCUGAGCAUGCAUGUGGCAGAAGAUGGAAACAGACAUGGUACACAGUGCUUAGGGUUCAGGGCCGUGGAAAGGGAAAAGGCAGUGAUCCUGGUUUAAGAGCCUCAUACUUUUGUUUGGGAAACCAAACUUGUGACAUGGUCUGAUCAGAUGCCAUCUGAAAUAUCUGCUCUAGUUCCGAAGACCGUUUCUUAAGAUGGACAUUAUCUAAGGUUAGCCUAGGAUAGUCAAGACGUUGGAAAACAUGCCAUGAAAAGAAAGGUUGAAAUAAGAGAAUUCUAGCAACAAGGAUGUUGAUAAAUGGAAGGCGUUGUUGCAUUAGGUAGAGCAUUGUAUGUACUUCACCUUUGCUGUACUAGGCAGCAAUCUUGCGGUCUCUAGACUCGGUCAUAGCUAGUCCCAAUCUGGGUUCCAGCCCCUAUUAGCCACAUGGUCUUGACAAAGCUGUUAAAGCUCACUAUCUCUCUGAUGUAAAACUUGGUGACUGUAGUUGAUGAUGCUGUAUUAUAUAAUUGAAAUUUGCUGAGAACUUAAAUGCUCUCACAAAAACAAAAGAACAAACCCCCACUACCUCAUACCUCCAAACCUCAAUAUCCUCAUCCUUAAAAUGGAGACAAUAAUGGAAUCAAGCUCAUGGAUAUGUGUGAAAAAUAAAUGAAAUAGUCCCUGUAAUACGCUUAACUCAAUGCCUGGAACACAGUAAAUAUUCAAUAAAUGUUACUGGUAUUAUUUUGAGAAGUAAUUAAGUACAUGGACUCUGGAGUCAGAAUACCUGGAUUUAAACCCUAAAUUCAUCAUUUGCUGGCCAUGUAACCUCGAGUCCAUCUGUUUCCUCACCUGUAAAAUGGGGAUAAUGAUAGCACCACCAUCAAAGGAUAAUUAUGAGUAUUAAAUAGUGGAAGUGAAGCUUUCGGCACAGUUAAGUGCCCGAUAAAUGUUGGCUUUUAUUAUUAUUGUUAGCUAGACCUUGAGCAAUAUAAAAACUUGAUCGAAUUCUUGUUCUCAAAAUGCUUAUUAUUUUAGUUUCUAAAAACUGAGAGAUGGGGAUAUAUGUAUAGCUGAUUCACUUUGUUAUAAAGCAGAAACUAACACACCAUUGUAAAGCAAUUAUACUCUAAUAAAGGCAUUAAAAAAAACAGAGAAUUCAAAAAAUGAUGUAUGUGCAAGAGGAGAUCAGGGAGGGAAAUAAUCAGCUGAGGCUGGAAAGGUUAGGGGGAACGUGGUGGAGGAAGUAGGAUUUCAGGUGAUGGGUAGAAUGGAUGUGGGGGGAAUGGAGAGAG